rnacentral:rRNA from 1 species
ACGCGAGCUGGGUUCAGACCGUCGUGAGACAGGUCGGUCUCUAUCCGCUGUGGGCGAAAGAGAAUUGAGAAGAGCUGCCCCUAGUACGAGAGGACCGGGGUGGACAGACCUCUGGUGUGCCAGUUGUCGUGCCAACGGCAUCGCUGGGUAGCCACGUCUGGCAGGGAUAACCGCUGAAAGCAUCUAAGCGGGAAGCUCGCCCUAAGAUAAGAUCCCUCACUGGAAACAGGUAAGACCGCUAGGAGACGACUAGCUGGAUAGGCGGCGUGUGUAAGUGCAGUAAUGUACUGAGCAAAGCCGUACUAAUGGUCGAGGGCUUACGAAG